rnacentral:snRNA from 1 species
AUUGCUUCUUGGCCUUUGGGCUAAGAUCAAGUGUAGUAUCUGUUCUUAUCAG